rnacentral:rRNA from 1 species
AGUGAACGCUGGCGGUAGGCCUAACACAUGCAAGUCGAACGGCAGCACAGUAAGAGCUUGCUCUUACGGGUGGCGAGUGGCGGACGGGUGAGGAAUACAUCGGAAUCUACUUUUUCGUGGGGGAUAACGCAGGGAAACUUACGCUAAUACCGCAUACGACCUACGGGUGAAAGCAGGUGAUCUUCGGACCUUGCGCGAUUGAAUGAGCCGAUGUCGGAUUAGCUAGUUGGCGGGGUAAAGGCCCACCAAGGCGACGAUCCGUAGCUGGUCUGAGAGGAUGAUCAGCCACACUGGAACUGAGACACGGUCCAGACUCCUACGGGAGGCAGCAGUGGGGAAUAUUGGACAAUGGGCGCAAGCCUGAUCCAGCCAUACCGCGUGGGUGAAGAAGGCCUUCGGGUUGUAAAGCCCUUUUGUUGGGAAAGAAAAGCAGCAGGUUAAUACCCCGCUGUUCUGACGGUACCCAAAGAAUAAGCACCGGCUAACUUCGUG